rnacentral:rRNA from 1 species
GAUGAACGCUAGCUACAGGCUUAACACAUGCAAGUCGAGGUGAAACGACAUCGAAAGCUUGCUUUUGAUGGGCGUCGACCGGCGCACGGGUGAGUAACGCGUAUCCAACCUGCCCAUCACUUGGGAAUAACCUUGCGAAAGUAAGACUAAUACCCAAUGAUAUCCCACGAAGGCAUCGGAAUGGGAUUAAAGAUUUAUCGGUGAUGGAUGGGGAUGCGUCUGAUUAGCUUGUUGGCGGGGUAACGGCCCACCAAGGCAACGAUCAGUAGGGGUUCUGAGAGGAAGGUCCCCCACAUUGGAACUGAGACACGGUCCAAACUCCUACGGGAGGCAGCAGUGAGGAAUAUUGGUCAAUGGGCGAGAGCCUGAACCAGCCAAGUAGCGUGCAGGAAGACGGCCCUAUGGGUUGUAAACUGCUUUUAUAAGGGAAUAAAGUGGGUCACGUGUGACUUUUUGCAUGUACCUUAUGAAUAAGGACCGGCUAAUUCCGUG